rnacentral:rRNA from 1 species
GACGAACGCUGGCGGCGUGCUUAACACAUGCAAGUCGAACGGAAAGGCCCUGCUUUUGUGGGGUGCUCGAGUGGCGAACGGGUGAGUAACACGUGAGUAACCUGCCCUUGACUUUGGGAUAACUUCAGGAAACUGGGGCUAAUACCGGAUAGGAGCUCCUGCUGCAUGGUGGGGGUUGGAAAGUUUCGGCGGUUGGGGGUGGACUCGCGGCUUAUCAGCUUGUUGGUGGGGUAGUGGCUUACCAAGGCUUUGACGGGUAGCCGGCCUGAGAGGGUGACCGGCCACAUUGGGACUGGGAUACGGCCCAGACUCCUACGGGAGGCAGGAGUGGGGAGUAUUGCACAAUGGGCGGAAGCCUGAUGCAGCAACGCCGCGUGCGGGAUGACGUGCUUCGGGUUGUAAACCGCUUUCGCCUGUGACGAAGCGUGAGUGACGGUAAUGGGUAAAGAAGCACCGGCUAACUACGUG